AUGCUCACAUGGAGAACAAAUAUACCAAAAUUGUAAAGGUACAGAGAAGAUUAGCAUAGCCCCUGCACAACAAUGACAUGCAAAUUUGUGAAGCAUCCACACACACA
rnacentral:snRNA from 1 species